rnacentral:rRNA from 1 species
GUGAGGAAUAUUGGUCAAUGGGUGGGAGCCUGAACCAGCCAAGUCGCGUGAAGGAAGAAGGAUCUAUGGUUCGUAAACUUCUUUUGCAGGGGAAUAAAGUGCAGGACGUGUCCUGUUUUGUAUGUACCCUGAGAAUAAGGAUCGGCUAACUCCGUGCCAGCAGCCGCGGUAAUACGGAGGAUCCGAGCGUUAUCCGGAUUUAUGGGGUUUAAAGGGUGCGUAGGUGGUUUGAUAAGUCAGCGGUGAAAGUUUGCAGCUUAACUGUAAAAAUGCCGUUGAAACUGUCGGACUUGAGUGUAAAUGAGGUAGGCGGAAUGCGUGGUGUAGCGGUGAAAUGCAUAGAUAUCACGCAGAACUCCGAUUGCGAAGGCAGCUUACUAAGCUACAACUGACACUGAAGCACGAAAGCGUGGGGAUCAAACAGGAUUAGAUACCCGUGUAGUCC